rnacentral:rRNA from 1 species
ACCGGCAGCUCAAGUGGUGGCCAUUUUUAUUGGGCCUAAAGCGUUCGUAGCCGGUUUGAUAAGUCUCUGGAGAAAUCCCGCAGCUUAACUGUGGGACUUGCUGGAGAUACUAUUAGACUUGAGGUCGGCAGAGGUUAGGGGUACUCCCAGGAUAGCGGUGAAAUCCUAUGAUCUUUGGAGGACCACCUGUGGCGAAGGCUCCUAACUGGAACGAGCCUGACGGUGAUUAACGAAAGCCAGGGGCGCGAACCG